rnacentral:rRNA from 1 species
AUGAAGGAUGUUGGGUAUGGUAUAUUUCUCACUAUUCUUUCAGUAUGUCAUUCUCCUGACUGGUUGAUUGACACGGGUGCUAAUGUGCAUGUAUGCGGUGAUAUUUCCAUGUUUUCGUCUUAUCAGACCGCAGGGACUUCAACCGUGCUGAUGGGCAACGGUUCAAGUGCUUCUGUUCGUGGUGUUGGCACGGCCGAUCUGAAGUUUACUUCGGGGAAGAUCGUGCGGCUGAAGAACAUGCAUUAUGUCCCCUCCGUCAAUAAAAAUCUUGUUAGCGGAUCUCUUCUGUGUAGAGAUGGCUACAAGCUUGUCUUUGAGUCGAAUAAAUUUGUAAUAUUCAAGUAUGGAACCUUUGUUGGUAAAGUCUAUGAGUCAGGAGGCUUGUUUCAUUUAUCCUUAUCAGACGUUUGCAAUAAAGUUGUUAAUCAUAUUUGCAACAAUAGUGAAUCCAAUGUGUGGCAUUCACGUCUUUGUCAUGUUAACUUUGGUUGCAUGUCGCGACUAGCGAAGUUGAACUUAAUCCCUAGUUUUACCGCCGUCAAGGGAUCUAAGUGUCAAGUGUGUGUGCAAGCUAAGCAACUUCGUAAGUCUCACACGACUGCAGAAAUAAGAAAUCUUGCACCACUAGAGCUCAUACAUUCAGAUCUAUGUGAAAUGAAUGGUGUGUUGACAAAAGGUGGAAAAAAAUAUUUCAUGACGUUAAUUGAUGACCCCACUAGAUACUGUCGUGUGUAUCUUCUAAAAUCUAAGGAUGAGGCUUUGAACUUUUUCAAGAUCUAUAAAGCUGAAGUGGAAAACCAACUUGAUCGAAAAAUCAAGAGGCUUAGGUCUGACCGUGGUGGAGAGUAUUUUUUCAAUGAAUUUGAUGCUUUUUGUGCGGAACAUGGUAUAAUCCAUGAG